rnacentral:lncRNA from 1 species
ACACUCUCAACCCUUGUACACUCAAUCUCUUCCUUACAAAAAUUCUCUCUUUAGAAAGAUCUCUCUGAAUCUCUGAUGCGAUCGCUGUCUGCUACCUGACAAUCUGCUUGAAGCACCCCGCUUUUGCUCUCUAUCGGCUCCUCUUGAUCUGCUAUUGCUUUAGAUCCUCGACUGAGCACACCACUGCUACUCCCUAAUUUCUGUUGCCAUA